AGAGUUUGAUCCUGGCUCAGGAUGAACGCUAGCGGCAGGCUUAAUACAUGCAAGUCGAGGGGUAGCAUGAUUGUAGCAAUACAAUUGAUGACGACCGGCAAACGGGUGCGGAACACGUACACAACCUUCCUACAAGUGGGGAAUAGCCCAGAGAAAUUUGGAUUAAUACCCCGUAACAUAGCGAUGUGGCAUCACAUUGCUAUUAUAGCUUCGGCGCUUGUUGAUGGGUGUGCGGCUGAUUAGAUAGUUGGCGGGGUAACGGCCCACCAAGUCUACGAUCAGUAGCUGAUGUGAGAGCAUGAUCAGCCACACGGGCACUGAGACACGGGCCCGACUCCUACGGGAGGCAGCAGUAAGGAAUAUUGGACAAUGGACGCAAGUCUGAUCCAGCCAUGCCGCGUGAAGGAUUAAGGUCCUCUGGAUUGUAAACUUCUUUUAUAAGGGACGAAAAAAGGUCUUUCUAGAUCGUCUGACGGUACCUUAUGAAUAAGCACCGGCUAACUCCGUGCCAGCAGCCGCGGUAAUACGGAGGGUGCAAGCGUUAUCCGGAUUCACUGNGUUUAAAGGGUGCGCAGGCGGGCAGGUAAGUCAGUGGUGAAAU
rnacentral:rRNA from 1 species